AAGAGUUUGAUCCUGGCUCAGGAUUAACGCUGGCGGCAUGCCUUAUACAUGCAAGUCGAACGGAAGUUUAAGCAAUUAAACUUUAGUGGCGAACGGGUGAGUAACGCGUAAGCAAUCUGCCCCUAAGACGAGGAUAACAGUUGGAAACGACUGCUAAGACUGGAUAGGAGAUAAGAAGGCAUCUUUUUAUUUUUAAAAGACCUAGCAAUAGGUAUGCUUAGGGAAGAGCUUGCGUCACAUUAGUUAGUUGGUGGGGUAAUGGCCUACCAAGACGAUGAUGUGUAGCCGGGCUGAGAGGUCGAACGGCCACAUUGGGACUGAGACACGGCCCAAACUCCUACGGGAGGCAGCAGUAAGGAAUUUUCGGCAAUGGAGGAAACUCUGACCGAGCAAUGCCGCGUGAACGAUGAAGUAUUUCGGUACGUAAAGUUCUUUUAUUAGGGAAGAAAAGAUGGUGGAAAAACCAUUAUGACGGUACCUAAUGAAUAAGCCCCGGCUAACUAUGUGCCAGCAGCCGCGGUAAUACAUAGGGGGCAAGCGUUAUCCGGAAUUAUUGGGCGUAAAGGGUGCGUAGGCGGUUAAAUAAGUUUAUGGUCUAAGUGCAACGCUCAACGUUGUGAUGCUAUAAAAACUGUUUAGCUAGAGUUGGAUAGAGGCAAGUGGAAUUCCGUGUGUAGUGGUAAAAUGCGUAAAUAUACGGAGGAACACCAGAAGCGAAGGCGGCUUGCUGGGUCUUAACUGACGCUGAGGCACGAAAGCGUGGGGAGCCAACAGGAUUAGAUACCCUGAUAAUCCACGCCCUAAACGAUGAGUACUAAACGUUGGAUAAAACCAGUGUUGAAGUUAACACAUUAAGUACUCCGCCUGAGUAGUACGUACGCAAGUAUGAAACUUAAAGGAAUUGACGGGACUCCGCACAAGCGGUGGAUCAUGUUGUUUAAUUCGAAGGUACCCGAAAAACCUCACCAGGUCUUGACAUGCUUUUGCAAAGCUGUAGAAAUACAGUGGAGGUUAUCAGAAGCACAGGUGGUGCAUGGUUGUCGUCAGCUCGUGUCGUGAGAUGUUGGGUUAAGUCCCGCAACGAGCGCAACCCUUGUUGUUAAUUGCCAUCAUUAAGUUGGGGACUUUAGCAAGACUGCCAAUGAUAAAUUGGAGGAAGGUGGGGACGACGUCAAAUCAUCAUGCCCCUUAUGACCUGGGCUACAAACGUGAUACAAUGGCUGUUACAAAGGGUAGCUAAAACGUAAUCUUCUGGCGAAUCUCAAAAAAGCACUGUGAGUUCGGAUUGAAGUCUGCAACUCGACUUCAUGAAGUUGGAAUCGCUAGUAAUCGCGAAUCAGCAUGUCGCGGUGAAUACGUUCUCGGGGUUUGUACACACC
rnacentral:rRNA from 1 species